UAAUAUCAGCUGGUAAUCCUGA
rnacentral:miRNA from 1 species